AUAGACGAAUCUAUGUCUGAUUAAUUUUUCUUGCUAGAAAUUUAUGCUCGAUCGAGCUUCUUCCGCCAGACGAUUUUACCUGGUGAUGUCAUAACCUGGAAGUACAAUGCCCGUGGUUCACUU
rnacentral:lncRNA from 1 species